ensembl:rRNA 5S_rRNA 5S ribosomal RNA
GUCUAUGGCCAUACCACCCUGAACACGCUGGAUCUCGUCUGAUCUUGGAAGCUAAGCAGGGUUGGGCCUGGUUAGUACUUGGGUGGGAGACAUUUUAUAGAAAUGAAGAAUCAAAAGAGA